CCCUUAGAUGUUCGGGGCUGCACGCGCGCUACACUGUAGAAAGCAGCGUGCUUUAAAACCUUUCCUGAAAAGGAUGGGUAACCCCAGCAAAAUUCUACGUGCUUGGGAUAGAGAUUUGCAAUUUUCUCUCUUGAACGAGGAAUUCCCAGUAAGUGCGAGUCAUCAGCUCGCGUUGAUUACGUCCCUGCCCUUUGUACACACCGCCCGUCGCUACUACCGAUUGGGAAAAUUUUAGAGAGUCCUGGACUGAUGAUUGUUCGGCUUCACGGCCUUACUUUCGUCGGGAAAGAAUUCGAUAAUAUUUUUCUAGAGGAAGUAAAAGUCGUAACA
rnacentral:rRNA from 1 species